GGAUGUGAGGGUGAUCUGGCUGCAACAUCUGUCACCCCAUCGAUUGCCGGGGUUGAUUUGGCUGAUCUGGUUGGCUAGGCAGGUGUCCCCUUCCUCCCUCACCGUUCUGUGUGCGUCCCUCCUGAAGCUGCGCGCUCAGUCGAAGAGGACGACCUUUCUCGAUAGUGCCGUGCCAUUCAGUGGUCAAGGGUAUACGCUAGCUGUCCUCCCCUGCCACAACCUCCACCCCAGCGCAAGGGCCACUGGUAGGAGAACGUAGGGUAGGCAAGCUUCCAACACUGCAGACACAUCCAAGUGAGGCGCUACAUGGGGCAGUAUUUUUGUUUU
rnacentral:snRNA from 1 species